rnacentral:rRNA from 1 species
GUAUAAGAGACAGCAGUCGCCGCGGGAAUACAGAGGGUGCGAGCGUUAAUCGGAUUUACUGGGCGUAAAGCGUGCGUAGGCGGCUUCUUAAGUCGGAUGUGAAAUCCCUGAGCUUAACUUAGGAAUUGCAUUCGAUACUGGGAAGCUAGAGUAUGGGAGAGGAUGGUAGAAUUCCAGGUGUAGCGGUGAAAUGCGUAGAGAUCUGGAGGAAUACCGAUGGCGAAGGCAGCCAUCUGGCCUAAUACUGACGCUGAGGUACGAAAGCAUGGGGAGCAAACAGGAUUAGAUACCCGAGUAGUCCCUGUCUCUUAUAC